rnacentral:snRNA from 1 species
AUACCUGGCAGGGGAGAUGCCAUGAUCACGAAGUUGUUUUCCCAGGGUGAGGCCUAUCCAUUGUACUCCAGAUGUGCUGACCUUUGUGAUUUCCCCAAAUGUGAGAAACUCAACUGCCUAAUUUGCGGUAGUGGGGGACUGCGUUUGUGCUCUCCCUUG